rnacentral:misc_RNA from 1 species
UCCGGUUUGUCACCGGCAGUCUCAUUAAAGUGCCCAACUAAAUGAUGGCAAUUAAUGACAAGGGUUGCGCUCGUUGCGGGACUUAACCCAACAUCUCACGACACGAGCUGACGACAGCCAUGCAGCACCUGUGUUACCGCUCCCUCUCGGGCACACUCGCCUCUCAGCAAGCUUCGGUGCAUGUCAAGGGUAGGUAAGGUUUUUCGCGUCGCAUCGAAUUAAUCCACAUAAUCCACCGCUUGUGCGGGUCCCCGUCAAUUCCUUUGAGUUUUAAUCUUGCGACCGUACUCCCCAGGCGGUCAACUUCACGCGUUAGCUUCGUUACCAAGUCUAUUAAGACCCGACAACUAGUUGACAUCGUUUAGGGCGUGGACUAC